UACGAAGGGGGCUAGCGUUGUUCGGAUUUACUGGGCGUAAAGCGCACGUAGGCGGAUCGUUAAGUGAGGGGUGAAAUCCCAGGGCUCAACCCUGGAACUGCCUUUCAUACUGGCGAUCUCGAGUCCGGAAGAGGUGAGUGGAACUCCUAGUGUAGAGGUGGAAUUCGUAGAUAUUAGGAAGAACACCAGUGGCGAAGGCGGCUCACUGGUCCGGCACUGACGCUGAAGUGCGAAAGCGUGGGGAGCAAACAGG
rnacentral:rRNA from 1 species